CCGGAAGUGAUUGCUUGGCUCGCAGUGCGCAGCUGCGGAUGUGACGCGCGAAGCUGUGCUCGGUGGUGAACCCGGUCAAAGACGGACCGACAUGUGGAGGACUCGUUAAUGUUCGGCCCGCAGUCCGUUUAGCUGACCCAUCUGUGAACCAACCGUCGUUGAUUCGUUAGUUACCGGCGCGGUCCGUCCGGUAGACGGUUUGAAUACCCCCUGAGCGCGAGGCAGAAGCGGAAAGAACCGGAGGAGCGGAAGAAGCAAUGUCGACCUCUCCCAACAGGAAGGGCGAGAUGUCCUACUACUCGUCGUCCCGCAGCUCGUCUCGGGCCACCGACUGCAAGGUCUACGUCGGUGACCUGGGCAACGGUGCUGCCAAGGGGGAGCUGGAGCGAGCGUUCAGUUACUACGGCCCGCUGAGGAGCGUCUGGGUGGCCAGGAACCCGCCCGGGUUCGCCUUCGUGGAGUUCGAGGAUCCCAGAGAUGCAGAGGACGCCGUGAAAGGCAUGGACGGAAAAGUUCUUUGUGGGUCCCGUGUUCGCGUGGAGAUGUCAACAGGCCUCUCCAGGAAAGGCCGCGGGCGCCCCAGUCGACGCCAGUUUGACCCCAAUGAUCGGUGUUACCAGUGUGGGGACCGGGGCCACUAUGCCUACGACUGCUACCGGUUUAGCAAGAGAGGAGGGCGUCGCAGCAGGUCUCGUUCUCGUUCUAGGUCUCGUUCCAGGUCCAGGUCCCGUGGACGCCGUUAUCGCUCUCGCUCCCGCAGCCGCAGCCACAGCAGGAGCCGUCGCCGAUCUCCUUCCUACUCCAGACGCAGGAGCAGGUCCGGCUCCCCGGCCCGCUCCAAGUCCAGGACUCCAGUGCGAAGUCGCUCCAGAUCUCGGUCUCGGUCUGGCUCUGCGCCCAGAGGACGCUCUGCCUCCCGAUCCCGCUCACGAUCUCAGUCCGCUAACCACAAGAGGAACAGCGUGUGGUGGGAGCUGAGCACUGCACUGACACCGCAGCUGAUCCCAGGCCCAGGGUCUGCCAGCUGGCGGUGUGUACGUCCUGCGGGAGGGUGACUAAGCGCUGACCUGAGAUCAGCCUUCGCCUGCAUCUGGUGUUAGACAGCGAGAAAGAGGUCGACCUACCGACCGAACCCUCCCCACAGUGAAUGGGCGACCCGUCUGUUCAACCGACGCACACGCUCAGACGAGAUCAGCCCAUGCACACAUACAGUUGUUCUACUAGAGCGAGCCAGCCAGCCAGCCAGCCAGCCAGCCUUCAGACGUACCAGAGGGCUGACCCACACAGAUCAGAGUGCGACCACUACCUUUUUAAAUCCAUUACCUACCUACCAGACCCCCCUACCUACCAGAGUUCUUCGGCCUCUGUCUUAGCUUCUGAAAGUGAGAGAAAGAGAGCUGACGAGAGAUCAGUCUUCAAGAGCCUCCCAGCGCAGUGUCUCUCCGAGUUGUAGUCAUCCGUCCUUCAGUCCUUUCAUCCUUCGCUUCUCUGUACUUGUUGUUUCUGCCACUGUCUCCAAAGUCGUUCCCGUUCAGCAAGUCCAAACCGAAGCGCAACGCCGGCUGAGGACUGAGUGAAGAAGACUAUUAGUCCCCCCUCUCCCUCACUCCCUCCCCUUGUACCGCUCUCCUUAACAGACAGACCCUGCACCCCGUCAGCUUUUUACAGCCCUACAUCAGCUGUUUUUUGUACUUGUCUGUCUCAUCCCGGCAUUUUUGAAGUUUGAUUUUUCUCCCCAGGACUGUAAUCUUUGUGCAGCCUCAGAUGUAGUCAGUACAGCAGACAUGAAUCAGUUUCCAUUUGAUAGAGUAGAGAUUGUUUUAAAUGUUGCUGCUGCUGCAUGGGUCAUUGUUCUUCUCAGAAGCAACACCUCUGUUGAGGUAAUCCUGAAUGUUGCAGUUGACUUUUAGCAGUGAUGCGGGCGGCUCGUACAGUAAACUGACGUGGAAGACGGCCCGGGUGAAGAACUGCUUUUAUUCCCCAAUCUUUAACCUUUAAAAUAUUUUCCCCAUUGAGAAAUCGGCAAAUGACUUAUUAUUUUGUAACGCUCCAAUUUGAGUUGCAGUGUUUAUCGUCUCUGCGUCAGCGUGAUGAGGAGACGACCUGCAUGACUUUAGACAUGACGUCACAUUCCUACUGUUUGUUGUUUCUGUGCUGCACUGCCCUUUUUACGAACCCGAUCGGCUUCAUUGUGUGCUGACUACAUUGUUUCCCUCCCGCGUGUUGAUUUUUUUUUUCCUGAAUUGUUCCUGUGACUUCUGAUUUUAAACUAUAUUCAGUGCUUCAGUUUGGUUUCUGUAAGGGCUGCUUUAGCAGUUUUGUUCUGUUCCUGACUUCUAUGGUAAGACAGUGGCAGUUUUAUUUUUGAAUAAACCUCUUCAACAACA